rnacentral:rRNA from 1 species
UACGGAGGGGGCUAGCGUUAUUCGGAAUUAUUGGGCGUAAAGGGCGCGUAGGCGGCCCGGUAAGUCAAAGGUGAAAUCCCUCAGCUUAACUGGGGAACUGCGUGUGAUACUGGAUGGCUUGGAUUUGGGAGAGGGAUGCGGAAUUCCAGGUAUAGCGGUGAAAUGCGUAGAUAUCUGGAGGAACACCGGUGGCGAAGGCGACAUCCUGGACCGGUAUUGACGCUGAGGCGCGAAAGCCAGGGGAGCAAACGGG